rnacentral:tRNA from 1 species
GGUGGUUCAGUGGUAGAAUUCCUGGCUUCCAUGCUGGAAACCUGGGUUCAGCUCCCAGCC